GGAUCGUUUCUCCGGGCGUUACCGGUCGCUUCUUUCUUGAUGUCAAAGCCAUUGUUCCCUCCGUUACCAUCGAAGGCCUACCGUUCUUUCCUCCUCCUCAUACUCGCCGUCAAGGGACAGCGCCGCCAUUCGUUCGGGAUUUGAGUUCUUCGAGGUUCGAUUUUCCAUCCCUACCUCGCCUUUUGAAUCAAUCAAUAUAUAGUGUUAUGGUGCUUUUCCACGUCGCAAUCUUUGGGAGUUUCCGGAUAAUGCUUCCUUGGACUCUUUCUCGGUCGUUUCUUGUAUGAUCGAUCAUCCAUACGGGCGUCCACUAUAGAGUCCAUUUUCUUCAUUGUGAUCGUGCUUUUCGUUUCAUUGAGUAACCCUAGCGACUGAAAAGUAAAAGGCGAACCAAUAAGUGUAGCAUCAUCGCCUUUAUGCCUCUGGGAGAGUUGGCAACAAAAAAGAGCGAAAAGGUGACCAGAUAAGCACCGCAACUGCAGCUCCAAGGAGCAAAGAAUCCCUAAAUGCUUAGGGUUUGCCCAGUGCUGACCCAUUCGCCUUUUGCAAGUAUGUAAAUUAUUGUAGGAAAUAAUAGAAAAUUUGUUAACCGAGGCCGUUAUGGGAUAGGGGGUAGCAAUUUGGGCUAUUCAGGUUCAUUCGAUGUGGAGUUCGAGGUUUAUACUGGAGGUUAUUGCCUUUUGGUAGAGGUGCAGACCAUUCACAGGACUCAAAUUCCCUAUGUUUGAUCGAUCAAUCCGAUGUGUUUUAAGCUCAGGAAAUGUUGUAUACAUAUGUGUCCAUUGUCUUGACCCCCUAUCCUUCUGCAAAUUGGCAAGUUAUUGUAGGAAAUAAUAGAAAAUCUGUUCCCUAUACCUGUUCUUGACUUUAAUCAUGGGAUAAAGAUUAGCAUUUGGGCUAUUAAGAGGUUCAUUCGGUGUGGAGUUUUUAGGUUUAUACAUCAGGGUAUUUUCUUUUGUUAGAGGUGCAGAUCAUUCACAGGACUCAAAUUCUCUGUUUGAUCGUACAAUUCAAUGUGUUUUUGUCUUGUGAAGCUAUGAUGUUUUGUUCCAUAUUCUGUUGCUGACCUCCUUAAUUGGUUAGUGGGCACGUCCCUAUUUUCCUUCUUAAGCCAAUCUAAAACAAUACAUUUUUGCAUUAACGGUUCUAAGUUUAUUAAGCUAAUCUUUUUUGCUACCAAAAUCUCCUUCUGUUGAUUGAGGUCGCGGUUAUGUCAUGGUACAUAAUGAGAAAUUUGGUACACUUGUGAGUAUUGGGCACAUCUCAUGCUUGCCAGUAUAUAGAAUCUUAACUGCAACAACACUUGCACAUGACAUGAUUCAGCAUAUGACAUGUCUUGUAGGUCUCUAUGGCUAGGACCUUCCUCCUUGUUUCUAAUUAAACUUUUGGGGCUUAGGCAUGUAUUACUUUAAUUCUAAGUAAUGAUCAUUAGUUUGUGAUUAGGGGCAUUUGUUGGGAACUACAGUCAUCAUAGGAGGAUUGUGAUUUAAGAAUUAUGUUGUUUGUGUAGUAAACUCAAUGCUAUUGUGUGUGUAUAUAUAUUGUGUAUGUGUGUAGGUAUAUAAAUAUAUAUAUAUAUAUAUAUAUAUAUGUGUGUGUGUGUGUGUGCACGCGUGCAUACAUAUAUAUAUGCUAUUGUGUUUAAAUUUUAGCAUAAUUUAGUCAGAUUUGAAAAGCUCUAAGCCAGACUAGUUGAUGUUGGAUUCUUAGAUGCCUUUGUGAUGGCAUCAAAGAACAAGCCUAUAUGAUCUUGACCAAGUAUAAAUAUUCUAAACGCUUAACUUAUUGGGAACUCAAGGUAUCUUCUUUUAUGCAUUUCACUGUAGGAUAUUUUAUGCUCUUUCAAACAAUUCCCGUCAGACAUUUAUUCCUAUAGAUCAUGUUGCAUAGACAGAGUUCUCUUAUGGAGAUGAAAAUGUGACAGACUGGUUUUGCCUGUUGAUGUCUUGUCAUUAUGCUAGGUACUCUUAGUUGGCAUUCGAACUGUGGAGUCAAUGGUUCUAACACAUGGAAAAAUACAAAAGACAACUAUCUCUAAAACAAAUAUAGCUAGCAUGCUGAUAUGUGACCAGAAUUAUGUGGAUGCAGUCUGGGAAAUACUGUUCAGUUCUAUCAUUAUCUUUUAGUUAUAGUAAUGUUCUCUUUUUCAUCUUUUGUACCUUUGAUGGGCCCAUCACCUCUUCAAGUAGUGUUUUCUGAACAGUAUCUAGCUAUGAACCCAUGUAUCUUAAUCCUAUAUUUCUUGUUUCAACUUUGGUUCUAGAGGUGCUUAUAUCUAUUAGGAUUCGCUGCUAGUGACUGAGGAGUUCCCGGUUUUUUAUCAUGAAAACAUCUGUUUAGGAUGGGGGAGGAUUAUGCCAAUUGAUGGUCAUCAUCUUUAAAGAUUAGUAUUUUCUUAGAUGUUCCUUCCGUUAUUGCAACCCUACUGUAUGCUUUUCCUUUUCAAUGGCUUGAUAUCUAACAAAUAUGAGGUGAUCAAAAUGGGUUGUGUGGGCUUCCAGAUGAAGGGCUCCACUAAUUAUUAGUUCUGGAGUUCCUUAGUCUGCUAGCUAACACCAUAUUACUCAAAGCUCUAUAACUAUUGAAAGAAAGGCAUCAGCAUUUGGCAUCAUCUAAUAAUUAUCACAACAUGAAAACUAUUAAAUUGAAACUACAUCGAAUAUGCAAACUUUCAAAUAUUACAUCAUAAAAUAUUCACAUUUUGAGUUAUAUAACUCGAGCAUUUUUGCCAAUGUUUAAUUUCCUUGAAUUGAUUGAUAUCAGAAAUAUGUGAUAAUGUGAGUAAGUACAUAAGAUGAAAUAUUCUUCAAUUAGACUGUCAUUUUCGGUCACUUUUUAGGUUCAUUCUAUCCAGGUUUUUAGGCUAAUGCUUAGUAGUUUAAUUCACUUAAAUUUUAUACUAUGUUUUUAUGAAAUUGUGAGCCUUGGUACAAUGGUUGCUCCUUUGUGACUUGGGAGACGAAGGUUCGAGUCACGAAAAUAAUCUUUUUAAAUAUUUAAAAGUAAAGUUACAUACAUUGAUUCGCAGAUCUGAAAACAAUAUAUAUUGACAGGAGCCUCGGGUAUGCCCUUGCAUCCUUUUUGAAAUGGCAAGUGCGUAAGAUUUGUUUCAUGCUUAUUGUGAAUGGACGGGCAAUAUCUUUGAUACUCAUUUUCAUGGCUAGUCAACAAAGAACAACUUAUUUUAGUUUUGGAAAUUUUUACCUUUGGUAGUUAUGUGUAGUUGCUUGCAGAGAUCCAUGGUUGGACUUAUUUGAUGAUAUGAUAAGGAUAAAGCUCAUUUCAGAAUUAAUGGAAGAGUCAAAUAAACUAUGUUUUAUUUUAUUAUUCUGCUGUGUCGAGUAGGUUGAUGCUUCUUGCACGUUUAAAUUCACUUGUCAAAGGCAGGACUUUGAACCCUAUGGUGAUGGAUCCAAUUUAUCUCUAGCACUAGCACUUCUCUUGAUAUAACUUUUGACUGACAUUUUAAAAAGUUAAUAAACAUAGGUUCGAUCGAUUAUUUCACCGAACUCUGAACUUAGAGAGGGGUCUUUUUUUUUUCUGAUCGAUAUACUGGAGGUUGAAAGAGUAC
rnacentral:lncRNA from 1 species